AUGUCGGCACAGAUCGCUCCGCCGGAGCAUGUCUGCUACGUGCACUGCAACUUCUGCAACACAAUUCUCGCGGUCAGUGUUCCAAGUAAUAGCAUGCUGAACAUCGUCACCGUCCGUUGCGGGCACUGCACGAGCCUGCUGUCGGUGAACUUGAGGGGAUUAAUCCAGUCGCCACCUGUGCAAGAUCAUUCCCAGGAGAAUUUCAAGGCCCACAAUAUCAGCUUUCGUGGAAAUUACCCGGACUAUGGCACAUCUUCUAAAUACCGGAUGCCAAUGAUGUUCUCAACAAAAAGUGACCAAGAGCAUAUGCUCCACAUGAGACCAGCUCCUGAGAAGAGGCAGCGGGUUCCUUCAGCGUAUAACCGAUUUAUUAAGGAGGAGAUACGAAGGAUAAAAACAAACAACCCUGACAUAAGCCACAGAGAAGCCUUCAGCACCGCAGCAAAGAAUUGGGCGCAUUUCCCAAACAUUCAUUUCGGGCUAGGCUCCAAUGAGAGCAGCAAGAAGCUGGACGAGGCCAUCGCGGCGCCUAUCCCCCAGAAAGUUCAAGGUCUCUACUGA
rnacentral:rRNA from 1 species